UACGGGGGGGGCAAGCGUUGUUCGGAAUUACUGGGCGUAAAGGGAGCGUAGGCGGGCUCUUAAGUUAGGUGUUUAAUCCCGGGGCCCAACCCCGGUCGUGCACUUAAAACUGGGAGUCUUGAAUAGUGGAGAGGUCAGUGGAAUUGGGGGUGUAGCGGUGGAAUGCGUAGAGAUCCCCAAGAACACCAGUUGCGAAGGCGGCUGACUGGACACAUAUUGACGCUGAGGCUCGAAAGCAUGGGGAGCAAACAGG
rnacentral:rRNA from 1 species